AUUGAACGCUGGCGGCAUGCCUUACACAUGCAAGUCGAACGGCAGCACGGGAGCAAUCCUGGUGGCGAGUGGCGAACGGGUGAGUAAUAUAUCGGAACGUGCCCGGUCGUGGGGGAUAACGUAGCGAAAAGCUACGCUAAUACCGCAUACGAUCUACGGAUGAAAGCGGGGGAUCGCAAGACCUCGCGCGAUUGGAGCGGCCGAUAUCAGAUUAGGUAGUUGGUGAGGUAAAGGCUCACCAAGCCGACGAUCUGUAGCUGGUCUGAGAGGACGACCAGCCACACUGGGACUGAGACACGGCCCAGACUCCUACGGGGAGGCAGC
rnacentral:rRNA from 1 species